AACGUAGGAGGCGAGCGUUAUCCGGAUUUACUGGGCGUAAAGCGCAUGCAGGCGGUUUGGCAAGUUGGGCGUGAAAUCUCUCGGCUUAACCGGGAGGGGUCGUCCAAUACUGCGGGACUUGAGUGCAGGAGAGGGAAGCGGAAUUCCCGGUGUAGCGGUAAUAUGCGCAGAUAUCGGGAAGAACACCAGUGGCGAAGGCGGCUUUCUGGCCUGUAACUGACGCUAAGAUGCGAAAGCUAGGGGAGCGAACGGGAUUAGAUACCCGGGUAGUCCCUGAGCGGG
rnacentral:rRNA from 1 species